UACGUAGGGCGCAAGCGUUAUCCGGAAUUAUUGGGCGUAAAGAGCUCGUAGGCGGCUUGUCGCGUCGACUGUGAAAACCCGCGGCUCAACCGCGGGCCUGCAGCCGAUACGGGCAGGCUAGAGUUCGGUAGGGGAGACUGGAAUUCCUGGUGUAGCGGUGAAAUGCGCAGAUAUCGGGAAGAACACCCGUGGCGAAGGCGGCUGCUCUCGGGACGGUACUGACGCUGAGACGCGAAAGCGUGGGGAGCGAACAGGA
rnacentral:rRNA from 1 species